GGGGCUGACUUGGUUUCGACGGGAAUAUUAGAGCGUAGAUGGCAAGUCGAAGGUUCACGUUACGAACAAAAAGCAAUAAAUGCAAACAAAUUAAAAAAUGCAGUAGCUAAUAUGUUUGGGGGAUCUCAAACAUUAGCUUUUGCCUAGUAUAAAGGUCUGCGCUUUCUUUUAUUCUUUACCUAGGGAAUAAUUGAAGGUUUAUUAUUAUAGGUUAUAUCUAUUUUUUGUCUAGAAAAUAGAAAGAAUUUAUUAGACUAGUAUAUUAUCUUGGUCGUUAAUUACUGGGGUAGUAUAUGAAAUAUAAUUAGUUAACUAAGCUUGUAGAAGUUUACGUAGCUAUAUUUUCGGACAGGAGUUCGAUUCUCCUCAGCUCCACCA
rnacentral:tmRNA from 1 species